GACCCAGCACAAAGCCAGGGCUGGGGGGCUGACAUUCAGAGGGGCGCGCGGCUCGCAGCACUGAUUAGACGGCCAGCAUCCCCGGCGGCCGCACGUAGUAGGCGCUCAGGAAGGGUCUGCAAGGAGGAGGGGGCGCAGGUCUCCGGUUAAAAAUCUCCUGUCUGUCUCCGCUCCCCAUGCUGCACCCCGGUGUCCCCCUCGGGGGCCACUCUGCCCAUCUGCACGCUCCCUGGGAAGUGCUUGGACAGAUUUUGCUCAAGCAGAUCACGCACAGAAUCCCCUCAUCAGCUCAUGAGCUCUGGGGCCCAAUGGCUACAAAACCUACUCUCUGAAGGAGCCAGGAACAAGCAAAUACAUCAUCCGGGCAGAGGGCAAAGGUCUGCCUUGCACUUCCUUGCUGUUUGGAUGGACGGACAAGGGAUCAGAUGGGAAGAAGUGAGCGUGCCGGGUUCCAGGUCACCAGGCAGUGAGUGGAGGAGCAGAAUCAGAACCCAGGCCCGCAGGCUCCACAGCUGUCACUGUUCCAUCUGCAGUGCCGUCCAAGCCACCACCUGGCUCCCUCUUGGGAUUUGAUGCAUGCGCUGGUGUCUCUCAUCUCCUGACCUUGGCUCCCUGCCACCACUCUUGGCUACAUCACUCACACACGGCGAGGUCACGCCCACCCAUCACAACCACCACAGCCCACCCCCCCAUCCACCCCAUCGGGCUUGACCCCAAUCAUAUUCCCGAGGAUGGGAAGACCACCAAAGGGGCUUGUGAUUUGUUACCUAUAAAUAA